GUGCCACAGCCGGGCUAAUACGUAGGUGACAAGCGUUGUCCGGAUUCAUUGGGCGUAAAGCGAGCGCAGGCGGUCCGGUAAGUCUGAUGUGAAAGCCCACGGCUCAACCGUGGAACGGCAUUGGAAACUGGCGGACUUGAAUGUAGCAGAGGAAAGUGGAAUUCCAUGUGUAGCGGUGGAAUGCGUAGAUAUAUGGAGGAACACCAGUGGCGAAAGCGACUUUCUGGGCUAUGAUUGACGCUGAGGCUCGAAAGCGUGGGGAGCGAACAGGAUUAGAUACCCUGGUAGUCCACGCCGUAAACGAUGAGUGCUAAGUGUUGGAGGGUUUCCGCCCUUCAGUGCUGGAGUUAACGCAUUAAGCACUCCGCCUGGGGAUUACGACCGCAAGGUUGAAACUCAAAAGAAUUGACGGGGACCCGCACAAGCGGUGGAGCAUGUGGUUUAAUUCGAAGCAACGCGAAGAACCUUACCAGCUCUUGACAUCUUCUGCCACCUUCAGAGAUGAAGGGUUCCCUUCGGGGACAGAAUGACAGGUGGUGCAUGGUUGUCGUCAGCUCGUGUCGUGAGAUGUUGGGUUAAGUCCCGUAACGAGCGCAACCCUUAUUGUUAGUUGCCAGCAUUGAGUUGGGCACUCUAGCAAGACUGCCGGUGAUAAACCGGAGGAAGGCGGGGACUGACGUCAAAUCAUCAUGCCCCUUAUGAGCUGGGCUACACACGUGCUACAAUGGAUGGUACAACGAGUGGCGAGACCGUGAGGUUUAGCUAAUCUCCCAAAGCCAUUCUCAGUUCGGAUUGCAGGCUGCAACUCGCCUGCAUGAAGUCGGAAUCGCUAGUAAUCGCGGAUCGGAAUGCCGCGGUGAAUUCGUUCCCGGGUCUUGCACG
rnacentral:rRNA from 1 species